rnacentral:lncRNA from 1 species
UUUAUUUUUGAGGUAAGAGUUUUAAAAGAUUCUUCACAAAAGUAGAGAAAAUACUUUCAAGAUCGCUAAAUAUUUACUAACUGUUUUUGAACUACAUUUUUCAAAACAUCCAGUAGAAAUUAGAUUCUACUAUAAGUAGGUUAUAGAGGACACCGUAGAUCAGAGGCCCACGUGUAGUCGGACUCGAUAAAGGAGUGACAAGGAGAUGCCUUUGAUGAAGUAAGUGAGAGACGAGGACUCGAUCAGACCUCUGAGUUGUAAACAGGGAGCGAAUCGUCAUAAACUAUUCCAACAUCAGAUUGAGAAACAACCGGAUGAAGGAUCAAAACGGAGAGCAUGCAAAAACAUCAGCAAUGGAGAUGAGACACAUGCAACUUGAAGACAAACCUCCACCGUAGUUCUUGCAGAUCCAGGACCUCAAAGCAAGCUAACACAAAACAGAUCAAGGACAGAUCUGAAGGUUAAGCUUACCACCAUCAAAAUCAACAUGCAAACCACCCG